rnacentral:rRNA from 1 species
AUGGCCGCGCUGCAGAGCCCGCUGCUCGGCGGCGCCGGCGUGUCGCCGGACGCGAGCUCUCCGCGCCGCAGGGUCCGCCGUCCGUGCGCCGCGCUGGGCAUCGCCGUGGCGCUGCUCGCCCUGGCCGGCGUCCUGCUCCUGCUCCUGGGCUCCGGCGUCCAGCCCGGUCGGGGCUCGAGGGCGUCCGUAGGCGCAGCGCGGGAGAGCCGGCACGAGGUGGAGUCCGGCGCGGCCGCGGUGGCCGCGGACGACGGGCGGUGCUCGGAGGUGGGCGCCGCGGCGCUGCGGGCCGGCGGGCACGCCGUGGACGCGGCCGUGGCGGCGGCGCUGUGCCUCGGCGUGGUGCACCCGAUGUCGAGCGGCCUGGGCGGCGGCGCGUUCAUCGUGGUGAGGGACGCGGCCUCCGGCGACGCCGUCGCCUUCGACGCCCGCGAGACGGCGCCGGCAGCGGCCACGCCGACCAUGUACGCCGCCGACCCGACGACCAAGUUCAAGGGCGCGCUCGCCAUGGGCGUGCCGGGGGAGCUCGCCGGCCUGCACGCCGCGUGGGCGCGCUACGGCCGGCUGCCGUGGAAGUCCCUCUUCGCGCCGGCGAUCGCGCUCGCGCGCGACGGCUACACCAUCGUGUCAUACGUGGCCAAUGCGCUGAAAGACGAGGAGGUCGACGUGCUGGCCGACCCCGGCCUGCGCGCCGUGUUCGCGCCCGGCGGGCGGCUCCUGCGCGACGGCGAGCUCUGCCGCAACCCGGCGCUGGCGGACGUGCUGGAGGCCGUUGCGGAGGAGGGGGUCGCCGCGUUCUAUGGCGGCGCCGUCGGGGAGAGGCUCGCGGAGGACGUGAGGCGGGCGGGGGGCAUCGUGACGGCGGAGGACCUGAAGGGGUACAGGGUGGGGGUGAGCAAGGCCAUGGAAGCUGACGCCAUGGGGUUCACCUUCCUCGGCAUGCCGCCUCCGUCCAGCGGCACCGUCGGCCUGGCGUUGGUGCUGAACGUGUUGGGUGGGUACAAGUCGACGGAGUUCUUGAAGGGGUUCCUCGGCGUGCACCGGCUGAUCGAGGCGGUGAAGCACAUGCUGGCCGUGCGGAUGGACCUCGGGGACCCCGGCUUCGUCAACGUCGCCGGCAACGUCUCCGAGAUGAUGUCGCCGGAGUUCGCGGACAAGAUCCGGCGGAGGAUCGCCGACAACACCACCUUCCCUCCCGCCUACUACCUCGCAAAAUGGAGCCAGCUGCGUGACAACGGCACGAGCCACCUGUGCGUGGUGGACGGCGACCGGAACGCGGUGGCGAUGACGACUACGGUGAACUACUACUUCGGCGCGCACGUGCUGUCGCCGUCCACGGGCAUCGUGCUCAACAACGAGAUGGACGACUUCUCGGUGCCGUCAUCGAACCCGGCCCCGGACCAGCUCCCGCCGGCGCCGGCAAACUUCAUCGCGCCGGGGAAGCGCCCCCUCUCCUCCAUGACGCCGGCGAUCAUCCUGAGGGACGGGCAGCUCGCCGGCGUGGUGGGCGCGAGCGGGGGCACCAACAUCAUCACGGCGGUGACGCAGGUGUUCCUGAACCACUUCGUGGUGGGGAUGAGCCCCCUCGCGGCGGUGCAGAGCCCCAGGGUGUACCACAAGCUGGUGCCCAACGUGGUGCGGUACGAGGACGCCACGACGGCCGACGGCGAGGUGAUCGAGUUCAGCACCGAGGCCAUGGAGUUUCUGCGGCGUAGGGGCCACGUGCUGGAGAGCACGUCGCCCGGGGCCGUGUGCCAGUUGAUCGUGCAGGACUUGCUGGCGCCGGUCUCAGGUGGGGGCGGCGGCGGCGAGAACGUGUUCCGCGGGAUGCUGACGGCGGUGAGCGACCCGAGGAAAGACGGCAGCCCUGCCGGACUAUGA